AGAGUUCGAUCUGGCUACAGACGACGCUGGCGGCGUGCUUAACACAUGCAAGUCGACGGAAAGGCCCUGCUUUUGUGGGGUGCUCGAGUGGCGAACGGGUGAGUAACACGUGAGUAACCUGCCCUUGACUUUGGGAUAACUUCAGGAAACUGGGGCUAAUACCGGAUAGGAGCUCCUGCUGCAUGGUGGGGUUGGAAAGUUUCGGCGGUUGGGGAUGGACUCGCGGCUUAUCAGCUUGUUGUGGGGUAGUGGCUUACCAAGGCUUUGACGGGUAGCCGGCCUGAGGGGGUGACCGGCCACAUUGGGACUGAGAUACGGCCCAGACUCCUACGGGAGGCAGCAGUGGGGAAUAUUGCACAAUGGGCGGAAGCCUGAUGCAGCAACGCCGCGUGCGGGAUGACGGCCUUCGGGUUGUAAACCGCUUUCGCCUGUGACGAAGCGUGAGUGACGGUAAUGGGUAAAGAAGCACCGGCUAACUACGUG
rnacentral:rRNA from 1 species